rfam:Morus notabilis contig7502, whole genome shotgun sequence.
GUCUCUUGUGAUGAUUUAAAUUGAAUAACUUUCGUUCUUCUGAGAAUCAUGAGGAAUUUUCAUGGAGACCUGAACUGAAAGAC